CCUACGGGAGGCAGCAGUAGGGAAUCUUCCACAAUGGGCGAAAGCCUGAUGGAGCAACGCCGCGUGGGUGAAGAAGGUCUUCGGAUCGUAAAACCCUGUUGUUAGAGAAGAAAGUGCGUGAGAGUAACUGUUCACGUUUCGACGGUAUCUAACCAGAAAGCCACGGCUAACUACGUGCCAGCAGUCGCGGUAAUACGUAGGUGGCAAGCGUUAUCCGGAUUUAUUGGGCGUAAAGGGAACGCAGGCGGUCUUUUAAGUCUGAUGUGAAAGCCUCGGCUUAACCGGAGUAGUGCAUUGGAAACUGGGAGACGUGAGUGCAGAAGAGGAGAGUGGAACUCCAUGUGUAGCGGUGAAAUGCGUAGAGAUAUGGAAGAACACCAGUGGCGAAAGCGGCUCUCUGGUCUGUAACUGACGCUGAGGUUCGAAAGCGUGGGUAGCAAACAGGAUUAGAUACCCCUGUAGUC
rnacentral:rRNA from 1 species